rnacentral:rRNA from 1 species
UACGUAGGGGGCAAGCGUUGUCCGGAAUCAUUGGGCGUAAAGCGCGUGUAGGCGGCCCGGUAAGUCCGCUGUGAAAGUCCAGGGCUCAACCCUGGAAUGCCGGUGGAUACUGUCGGGCUCGAGUCCGGAAGAGGCGAGUGGAAUUCCUGGUGUAGCGGUGAAAUGCGCAGAUAUCAGGAGGAACACCGAUGGCGAAGGCAGCUCGCUGGGACGGUACUGACGCUGAGACGCGAAAGCGUGGGGAGCGAACAGG